rnacentral:lncRNA from 1 species
AAAAUUGGUCAAUACAAAUGAAAAACCAAAUCCCAAAACAAGAACAAAAAUUGAUGAAUCCCAAAGCCCGAUUUCGGCAAUGCAAUGCAAAAACAAACGAACUCAAAAUUCCAAUACACAAUAGAAAAGCAAAAACCAGUGUAGCCUGAGCUUUGAUGAGCUAGAUGGAAGCAUAGAAUGAUGAGAAAGAGAGGAUUCCGACAACCCCUUGGCAUUUCCUGGUCAGAUUUCGGUGCUAAUUCUAAUAGGAUUGCCGAUUUUGUUGUUUCUUUGUCAAAUCUCUCAAAAUCCCUUCAUCCUCUUGAUUCUCUCUAACUCUCUUUAUUGCUCUCUCUCUCUCUCUUCAUUACUAUAUCCAUCCCCAUAUUUGUACAUGAAUCAUUGUGUUUGUGUGAUUUUGGUGAGUGAAUAUGGGAUAGGAGCUUUCCCUGAAAGAAGGAAGAAGACGAUGGUCCUCCUUCUUCUCUCUCCCUAUUUUUGGCUCUCCCUCUUUUCUAUUUUUGUCUCUAUCCUCUCCUAUAUCCCAUCCCUCUUUUCUAUGUAGGCUCUUCCUUAAAAGAAAA